AAUGAGCGAAAGCUUGACGCAGCGACACCGCGUGUGGGAUGACGGAUCUAGGUUUGUAAACCACUUUCAGGAGGGAAGAAAAUGACGGUACCUCCACAAGAAGCCCCGGCCAACUACGUGCCAGCAGCCGCGGUAAUACGUAGGGGGCGAGCGUUGUCCGGAUUUAUUGGGCGUAAAGAGCUCGUAGGCGGUUCAACAAGUCGGUCGUAAAAGUUCAGGGCUCAACCCUGCAAUGCGAUCGAUACUGUUGGACUAGGAUACGGUAGAGGUGAGUGGAAUUCCGAGUGUAGCGGUGAAAUGCGUAGAUAUUCGGAGGAACACCAAUUGCGAAGGCAGCUCACUGGGCCGCUAUCGACGCUGAGGAGCGAAAGCUAGGGGAGCAAACAGGAUU
rnacentral:rRNA from 1 species